rnacentral:RNase_P_RNA from 2 species
CUGGGAAGGGACACGGUCGCGCGUUCGGGCGUCAGCGUCCGGCGUGAGGAAAGUCCGGGCACCGCAGGGCAGGAUGCCAGCUAACGGCUGGGCGGCGAGCAAAAGGCCAGUCCUCCAAGGAGAACCGGGCACAUGCGAAGCCGACGGAAAGUGCCACAGAAACGAGACCGCUGCUUUUCGGCUUUGGCCGGUGGCAGCAAGGGUGAAACGGUGCGGUAAGAGCGCACCAGUCUUCUGGGAGACCAGAAGAGCUGGUAAACCCCAUCCGGUGCAAGGCCCGACAGUGGGGGAGGAGCGGCCCGCUCCCCUGAUCCCCAGGAUGGCCGCUUGAGGCGCCCGGCGACGGGCGUCCCAGAGAGAUGAUCGUGGCACUGGCGAACGUCAGUGAACAGAACCCGGCUUACUACCUUCCCAGCCCC